GAGUGGGACAGGUGGUCGCUGCUGCGCGAAAGACGCAGGAGAGGAAAGUCCGGGCUUCACAGGGCAGGAUGCCAGAUAACGUCUGGCGAAGGCGACUUCAGGGACAGUGCAACAGAAAUAAACCGCAUGGCUUGCCAUGUAAGGGUGGAAAGGCAGUGUAAGAGACUACCGCCUCACUGGUAACAGGGAGGGCACAUGUAAACCCCAUCCGAAGCAAGGCCGAACAGGGAGCAUAAGGCGGCCCGUCUGCUUCCGGGUUGGCUGCUUGAGCCGUCUGGUGACAGGCGGCCUAGAUAGAUGACCAUCCGCGACAUAACCCGGCUUAUCGUCCCGCUCA
rnacentral:RNase_P_RNA from 1 species